rnacentral:tRNA from 1 species
AAAUUUAGGUUAACUAUAAACCAAGGGCCUUCAAAGCCCUAAAUAGAGUGCAUCUAAUUUCUG